rnacentral:rRNA from 1 species
CACGGGGUUGCGAGCGUUGUCCGGAAUUACUAGGCGUAAAGGGCAGGCAGGCGGAUCCAUAAGUUUAUCGUUUAAGGCGUCGGCUUAACCGGCGUAGGGCGGUAGAUACUGUGGAUCUGGAAUGCGGUUGGGGAAGACAGAAUUCCUGGUGUAGCGGUGGAAUGCGCAGAGAUCAGGAGGAAUACCGAAGGCGAAGGCAGUCUUCCAAGCCGUCAUUGACGCUCAACUGCGAAGGUGUGGGUAUCAAACAGGAUUAGAUACCCCGGUAGUCCCUGA